rnacentral:rRNA from 1 species
ACGCUGGCGGCACGCCUAACACAUGCAAGUCGAACGAAGUAGCAAUACUUAGUGGCAGACGGGUGAGUAACAUGUAGGUAUCUACCCUAUGGCCUGGAAUAACACGAGGAAACUUGUGCUAAUACUGGAUAAGUCUUUACGGAGAAAGCUUUAUGCACCAUUGGAUGAGCCUGCACUUGAUUAGUUUGUUGGUAGGGUAAUGGCCUACCAAGACUGUGAUCAAUAGCUGAUUUGAGAGGAUGAUCAGCCACAUUGGGACUGAGACACGGCCCAAACUCCUACGGGAGGCAGCAGUGGGGAAUCUUGCACAAUGGAGGAAACUCUGAUGCAGCGAUGCCGCGUGAGUGAAGAAGGCCUUUGGGUUGUAAAGCUCUUUCGUCGGGGAAGAAAAUGACUGUACCCGAAUAAGAAGGUCCGGCUAACUUCGUGCCAGCAGCCGCGGUAAUACGAAGGGACCUAGCGUAGUUCGGAAUUACUGGGCUUAAAGAGUUCGUAGGUGGUUGAAAAAGUUGGUGGUGAAAUCCCAGAGCUUAACUCUGGAACUGCCAUCAAAACUUUUCAGCUAGAGUUUGAUAGAGGAAAGCAGAAUUUCUAGUGUAGAGGUGAAAUUCGUAGAUAUUAGAAAGAAUACCAAUUGCGAAGGCAGCUUUCUGGAUCAUUACUGACACUGAGGAACGAAAGCAUGGGUAGCGAAGAGGAUUAGAUACCCUCGUAGUCCAUGCCGUAAACGAUGUGUGUUAGACGUUGGAAAUUUAUUUUCAGUGUCGCAGCGAAAGCAAUAAACACACCGCCUGGGGAGUACGACC